rnacentral:misc_RNA from 1 species
GAUGAGGACGUAGCGAAAUGCGAUAAGUAAUGUGAAUUGCAGAAUUCAGUGAAUCAUCGAAUCUUUGAACGCACAUUGCGCCCCUUGGUAUUCCGAGGGGCAUGCCUGUUCGAGCGUCAUUAUAACCCUCAAGCUCAGCUUGGUGUUGGGGCCUGCUGCACUGGCAGCCCUUAAAAUCAGUGGCGGCGCCAUCUGGCUCUAAGCGUAGUAAUUCUUCUCGCUAUGGAGUCCUGGUGGAUGCUUGCCAUCAACCCCCAAUUUUUCUAUGGUUGACCUCGGAUCAGGUAGGGAUACCCGCUGAACUUAAGCAUAUCAAUAAGCGGAGGA